GCUCAGUCUCUCUCCUUCUCCUCUCAGUCUCUCUUCUCUCCUCCCACCAACCACCGGCCUCCUUCGCCCACCUCCAAAGGUCGCCGCCUCCUUCGCCCUCCGCCCCAUGGUCGCCGCCGCCGUCUCUCCGCCGCCCCGUCAUCGGCUCCUUCUCCCACCGCCUCCGGGUCGCUGCCUCCUUCACCCACCGCCCACGGUCGCCGCCUCCUUCACCCACCGCCCACGGUCGCCGCCAUGCCUCCAAAACUCCAAAUCCGGGUCACCGCCUCCUUCCCACCUCCACCACGCCAGAUCCGGGUCGUAUCGAGCCAAAGACGAAGACAACGCCGGUGCCAGGACCAUCGGCGAAUGGGGCACCACGCCGCUGCCCAACGCCAUCGACAAGCCCCUCCGUCCAUCGCCGCUUAUCUCCGGUCGACGACAAGCUUCUACAUCCCCCACCCUCCCCCUGACGGUCCCAGCAACCAUGAACUCGGGGGCUCCAGAUCUGGACACCAUGAACUCAGAGGUCGCGGAUCCAACCAUCCCGAGUUUGGGUGCUCCAGAUCCUGCGGUCCUAGCUUCAGCGACGCCAGAUCCGUUCGUGAGAUAAUAUUUAACUACUGACAUGCAUAUGGAUGACUAUCAAGGAUGGUUGAAAGGCUAGCUAAUGAAUACUAAUCUGAGGCACUGGGGGCUGUACUUAUGCUGAUCUAAUUGUAAGUUUGUAUGUCAUACCAUAUUCGUCAGGCUCAGAAACCAAAGAUGGAAAUGCUAUGUUCAAGUUUGUGGCACUUAGGCUAUAUUUCUCAUUUUUCAGUAUGUUGGCAUCGAAGUAUGUUCUCUUUUUUCUGGAUUUAUUUCUGGUGCUUUGAAGCAUCGGCUUGGCUCAAUUUGAGAACUUGCAAUGCAUGUGUGUGAAUGUCUAUGGAUUUUCGGUGACAACUUGGAAUGCAUGUGAUGUUAGUUUGAAACUUUUAA